AUGUGGGAAACAGUUACGGAGUGCAUAGAUCGUUACUCAACCGCUGCCGCCUCAUCACCGAUUCGUAAGCCACUUUUUUUAUUCCCUAUUCUCUCUAUAACUUCGCACGAUCAUCGCAGGCUUUUCGUUUCUUAUCAUCACGCGGUUUUUGGUUUCUUGUUGCUGUUCUGUUGGUGUGUUGUACAUCAUCUGCAUGCACUGGUGAGAUGUGAAUUAAUUGGAAAUUCUAAGUUCAUUCCCUGGGUUACCCACCUUUUUAAAUUAUGUAAUCUGAUUAAAAAGUUUUAA